UAACACGUAAACAACCUGCCCUCAGGAUGGGGACAACAGACGGAAACGACUGCUAAUACCGAAUAAGUUCCAAGGGCCGCAUGGCCCAUGGAAGAAAAGGUGGCCUCUACCUGUAAGCUAUCGCCUGAAGAGGGGUUUGCGUCUGAUUAGCUGGUUGGAGGGGUAACGGCCCACCAAGGCGACGAUCAGUAGCCGGUCUGAGAGGAUGAACGGCCACACUGGAACUGAGACACGGUCCAG
rnacentral:rRNA from 1 species